AGGAUCAUUAUUGAAUGUACUUGCAAUAGGUUGAAGCUGACUUUUUGGAGUAUGUGCUCGCCUUUUGUAACUUACUACUUUUCCACUUGUGAACCUUUGUAGACUAUGAAUGAAAUAAACUCAUCUGAAAAUGAUGGUUAGAGAGGUUUGUUCUUACAGAGCAUCCUUUUGUUAGUAGUUCAUAGUCUAUGUUAUAUUUACCCUUGAUUGAAUGUUAAUGAAUGUCAUUUUACUGGUCUUUGACCUUUAAACUUAAUACAACUUUCAGCAACGGAUCUCUUGGCUCUCGCAUCGAUGAAGAACGCAGCGAAAUGCGAUAAGUAAUGUGAAUUGCAGAAUUCAGUGAAUCAUCGAAUCUUUGAACGCACCUUGCGCUCCUUGGUAUUCCGAGGAGCAUGCCUGUUUGAGUGUCAUUAAAUUCUCAACCUUAUCAGUUUUUUAUUAAAUUGGUUCAAGGCUUGGAUUUUGGGAGUUGCAGGCUUCUCUUUUGAAGUCAGCUCUUCUUAAAUGUAUUAGUGGAGACUUGUAACCGUCGCCUUGGUGUGAUAAUUAUCUGCGCCUUGGUGUAUUGGUGACUAGUAAUGUCUUUGCUUAUAACAGUCCAUUAGAUUGGACAAUCACUUUAUGACUUUUGACCUCAAAUCAGGUAGGACUACCCGCUGAACUUAAGCAUAUCAAU
rnacentral:rRNA from 1 species